rnacentral:lncRNA from 1 species
GACGGGAAAAGGCAAACUAAACCUUUUUUUGUGUGUGAUAAGUGGGAAAGGGCAUAUUUUAAUACAGCUCAUUUUAACAAUGACGAACUUGAUGCAUUAUUGUUAGUGAAUUCAUGAUAUUCUAUCAUUCUUAAUUUUAGACUUAUGCUCUAUAGUAAAUCUCAUAUUUGAUAUGUAAGGCUUUGAUGAUGAUGGUGGUGCUGCUGCUGAUGAUUUUUGUAAUGGUUUGUGACCACUGCCCCCAUUUUAGUUACUGUAUCCUAUUCCUUGUUUUAGUGGCUUAUUAUUAUUUAUAGAAGUUUGAGUGGUUAUCCAAGACUAUUUGAAGACUCAUUCAAUGCUAUACUGUUUUUUAGACUAUUUGAAGACUUGUUGCAGGAGUGCUAUUUCUUUUUUCGAUAUGGUGGUUUCCACAUUUUUCCUUUUCCAUUUUAUGGACUCUUCCAGCCUCAGUUUUCUCCACCAUCUUUUUAUC